UACGUAGGGGGCAAGCGUUGUCCGGAAUCAUUGGGCGUAAAGAGCGUGUAGGCGGCCCGAUAAGUCCGCCGUGAAAGUCCAGGGCUCAACCCUGGAAUGCCGGUGAAAACUGUCGGGCUGGAGUCCGGAAGAGGCGAGUGGAAUUCCUGGUGUAGCGGUGAAAUGCGCAGAUAUCAGGAGGAACACCAAUGGCGAAAGGGCAGCUCGCUGGGGACGGUACUGACGCUUGAGACGCGAAAAGCGUGGGGGAGCAAACAGGG
rnacentral:rRNA from 1 species